UCCCAAAGGUAAGAGGGAGACUGGUGUGACAGAGGUAAGAGGAAGUCUGGCAUCAUAGAAGAUGGAGAUCAUCUUGCAUCACAGAGGAAGGAGGGAGUUUGGCAUUACUGACAUUAGAGGGAGUCUCACAUCAUGGGGGAAGGAGCACAUUCUCGUUCAUGCUGCCCUUACUACUUAAAGUCAUGAUCCUAAUUUAAAUUCACAAUGUGCACCUCAUCUGUCUUGCAGUUUGCCAGAAAAUUCCUCUGGCAGUCUUUACAUUCAUCAUUUCUAUCUCCACACCUUCUUUUAACUGAAGGAUUGUCAUGUACUUUGUUCUUACCUCAAACUCCUUGCACUCUUUUUUUUCCCCGCUAAAGCACCACAUAUACAUCAAUUCUGCAUGUUUUAAUAAUUAAAGGUUUCAGUAACAUAGUUUUCUAACAGUGCUAAUACAAAAAGCUUGUAAAUCUGCUAGCUGAAAAGAUCUUUCCCUCCCUGAUUCUGUGGAAGAAUCUUAAGAGACUCAGACUAAUGGAAGAUCCUGUAGUAAAUAGAAGGGGAUAUACUGCAAUGUACCACCACCAAUUUGAGAUAAAAACAAGUCUUAUCUGGAGAUCAGGGCAGGCAAAAUAUUGGCAAUAACACCAUGGCAGGGAAGGAGGGUAACCUUUCACUCUUCACUGCUGGAGGAUUUGGUGAAGCUAAAAUUAGAGCCCAAAUUUGCCUUAAGGCCUGAGGAACAAUUACCUCGAUCUCAUUUCCUUAUCUGUAAUAUCUCACUCUUUUGGUUCAUUUCCACCUCCUCAGAAAAUGCAGAUGCUGGCACAGGAUGAAGAGGUGAACCUCAUUAUCGCUAGAGACUCUAGUGGAAGGCAAAACAGAACCAUGUGCUGUUCAUAAUUUCUUUGCAGGCACUAGGAAUGAAAUGUUGAAGUAAAGCUCAAGAUGUUAUUUGGACUCUCUUGGACUGUGUCACUUAGUUGGCUGGAUAGUGGCUAAGAAUUGUUAAAAAAACUUGUUACUGGCAUGGUAUCCUUCCCUCUUUUAACCAGAGGAAGGGAUUUGAGAGAGCUUUCAGCUGUGUUCCUCCUCCAUUGUAUGCCAGGCUGUUGUCACUUCUCUGCACCUGUGCAAAAAACCUGUUCUUGGGAUUUGAGGGUCGUUAAAUAGAGUAAAGGCUGGAUAGGAUAAAUAGGAUAAAAUCUUUGCAUGCUCUCACCUUAAUGCAUUAUUCUGGUAGUUUGAACAGUUCUUUCACCCUUAAUUUUCAUGACUGAACAGUGCUGAUUUAAGAGUCCUUUCUUGCCUUUUGUCUGCAGAGUCUUAAACAGAAAUUAUUGCAGAUGAAGAGUGCAUCUCCUUUCUUCUGAAUCAUGCACUCAGUCGUUAGAUCACAUUAAUGGGCAUCACACAGAUCCCAAGCUGGAUUCUGUCAGGUUGUGUUUAUGUAGCCCAACAGCUUUUUUUAGACUCUUGAAAGAGAGUGGGUUUGUUCAAACAUAAUAGAAGCAAAAUAAGGAAAAUUGAGGUAAACAAAUCAUUUUUAAGCAGCACAGAAUAAUGUGUAGGGCAUAGCUUUGAAAGAACAAGUAAUGUUGCAUAGAUAUGUGUUCUUGUAAAUUGAGUUUCUUCCUCUUAAGAAAGUGGUAUGCAGUAUUUUAAAUAAUGAUUGGGAUAUGAGCUUUGACUGGCCAGUGGUUACAUACAUUCUGCCCCUGGAUGAGGCAAAAUGGAUAACAGUGAACUUAAUCUCAUACUACUUUUCUUUUAUGCUUAGUUAGACUUGGGUCUCAGUGCCUGUGGACUUUCAGAGUUAACAACAGAUUUUAAUUGUAGGAAAAAUGAGGUGGGAAUGUGUUGUGCAAGGUGCUCAAACAGUCCUCUGGAGUAGUGUGCCUCAAAGACAGGUGCUGUAAGUGCAAGCUCUGGGUGAUGCAGAUGGGCACCCCCAGAGCUUAAACUGGCCCUGUUGCUUGUUCCUGUUGUCCAAGGGACUAAGAAGAUGAGGCGCUGCACGGGAGCAGUGCCUGUGCCAUAGGUGUGGGGUGUUCCUCAGCAGGGAACACCCAACCCUGACUGGGAGCAGCAUGCCCCAUCCUGGGGGAGGCACUGAGGUUUCACUGCUUUGGGGACACAACCUCACUCCUUGCUUGCAGCCUUCUAAUUAAGUUCCUUCUGUACUGGUUAAUUUCUGAUUGUGAACAGUCUAGGGAAAAAAAAAAAAGUAAAAUAGGAUGAUAUAAUCUCUUCCUGCUGUUUUGGAGAUAGCAUUGUGUUCCACCUCCUUGUGGCAAUAAAAUAUGUAAAUGCUAAAUUUCUUAUCGAGACAAGCCAGAAACUCUGUUGGAUUUGUAUUUCCUGUCUUUGAUUUGCCUUCCUGCACAGGACGCUUUAUUUCAUCCGAUGCCUGCUCCUCCUCCUCCCCUACAAUGUUAAUGCAUCAUUUCAUGCUCACCUGGGAGAUGUUAUCACUUGUAGGCAAAGCAAUUUCUGCGUUGCUAAGCUAUUUUCUAGCUUGUCAUAAUGCUCCAUAAACUACAGAAAUAGGAAGAUUUUCUUCUACGAGUGACUUGGUGGUUUUCUGUCUGUUGCUGGAGCUACAUGAUGGCAAAAAUGUGAUGCCUGGAGAUAGCAGGACGCAGACUGAGGGUGAAGCUGUGAGGACUGUGCCAUGUCUUAGUCCUUUUUAGGCUGUGGCAGUGCUCAGGGGCUCUGUUACAGGUGUCAUGAGUUUUUGAAGUGCUUCAGUGGGGUUGUUUUUCCUUCAGGUCUCUUGGGAAGAGUAACCUGCAAUUGCUGCUCUUUGGGCAAACCAGCAUGUAAACAAAGGUGCAGCAGAGGAGAGCUGCCUUUUUGGGUAAUUAUUAAUCAAUAAACCUCGUAUCUCACAGAGUGUGCCAAGUGCUCUGAGCUCCCUCACAGUGUGCUGGUCUUGCCUUUGGUCACAUAAAAAGAGGAAAAAGCCAAACCAAAGCAUUAACUCCCUUUGAAGCACUCGUUUAUAAAGGCAACAGGCCAGCGUGGUUGCAUCAAGAGACUUCAGACAAUAAAACCACCAGCACUUUGUUGUUGACAUCUCUGAAAACUGAGGGUAGAAACGUGUCACUGUACCUGUUUGUCCUUCCACAUCAUGGUGCUGUAUUGCUGCAUCGUGGAACAAGUGUUAAGGAGCUGAUAACUUCCAUUUCACCACAGAUCCCAGCAGUGAUUAGUGGAGAAAAUUCAUGUGCAGAUGCCUCACAACUGAGGCUGCUUUGUGCUGCUCAAACAACACAGGAGAGCUCCAGAGAAGCAGCUAGAAUAAUGAACUUGGGAAAUCAGGGCUCUGAGUGGCUCCUCUGGGCCCGGGCUGGAGCUGCUGGUAGGAACAUGCUGCAUCCCAGCAGCUCAUCCCUCACAAAAUUCCCCUUGGGUGAGCUGGUGAGAGUUACAGUACUGCUGAUGCACUUGGUCCUUCCCUUCCCGGGCA